rnacentral:rRNA from 1 species
UACAGAGGUCUCAAGCGUUGUUCGGAUUCAUUGGGCGUAAAGGGUGCGUAGGCGGCGCGGUAAGUCGGGUGUGAAAUCUCGGAGCUUAACUCCGAAACUGCAUUCGAUACUGCCGUGCUUGAGGACUGGAGAGGAGACUGGAAUUUACGGUGUAGCGGUGAAAUGCGUAGAUAUCGUAAGGAAGACCAGUGGCGAAGGCGGGGUCUCUGGACCGAGACUGACGCUGAGGCGCGAAAGCGUGGGGAGCAAACAGG